CUUCUUUACGUUCUCUCAUAAAACCAACAAUUUCAUGAACAUUAUACAGAAAAGAGCCCUAAACAGAUUAGUUUCAAGCUCCACUAGAAUCUAAUGAAGAAAACAGUUGUAACAAAACUCAACAACCCAUAAUCAAGUUACAGCACCUCUGGAAAGUGUGAUGCUAGACCUUAUCGACAAAGAUAUCUGCAGGUACACCAUCAGUAUGGAAUUUCCUCUUAUUUGCUCGGUCUCUGAUCCCCUGCACUGGGUUUGUAAUGAGCCUGCCAGUGUAACUUUCACCUUCCGAUUUUUCACUGAGGGACAAUGUAAUUGUUUCAUCCUCAGAAUCAUUUUUCUUCCAUUUCUUGAAUCCAUCAAAUUCCUAUUGCUUCUUUCUCGAUUUCAUCUUUUCUUCUUCUUUUUUUCUGUGGUCUAGAUUAUGAUCAACACUACCAUUUCCCCGUUUCUCUCUCUAAAAUAGGGUUCUAAAAGGUAUUUUUUUUGCACCAAUACUUCAGUUGUCAAUCUUCACAGAAUCUGCUGGAAGCUCUCUACCAUGAGAAUGGACAUUGUUU
rnacentral:lncRNA from 1 species